AGGACCUGGGGGUCCUGGGAGACGCCGAACUGAACGUGAGCCACCAAUGUGCCCUUGACACUGAGAAGGCUAGUGGUCUUCUGGGCUACGUUAUGUGGUCCAAAGCAUUACCAGCAGGGUACACAGAGGAUGGAGUCAGAGGUGGGUGAGCAGGGACCAAUGUCUUAACCUAGCACCAGUGCCCAGGAGCUCUGCAGCUGCCUCAGACCCCUCGCUUUGAGGACAUUUCAGGGGAAGUUGGGACUAAUUCAGCCCCUGUUGGGACUUGCUUCCUUUUGCAGCUGGGGCUUUGCUGAGCACCAUCAGAAGGCCGCUGCAUGUGGCUACAGCAGCCAGGAAGUCAGCGUGGGAAGGGCUCUGCACACUCCUUUCCUUUCUGGCGCUGGGGCUGAUGACAAAUGCAAGCAAGCAGGGCAGCCUGGCACACAAACCGACACGGCACACUCCCCCUGCCGUGCCCCCCUCCACGCUCAGGCAACAUCAAGCACCACUGCAAAGCUCUGCAGUGGCUACGGAGAAAAGAGCUGCCGUGGCGUCCUCUCCUCUCACAGCAAUGAGCUCGGCGCAGGUUUUCCCAGUCUGUCACCUUUUAGGGCAGGUUGUUGAAAAGCCUGUUCGCUUUUCAUCUUGUUCUGCCACAACGGCAGGCAGUGACAGGUUGUUAUCGUUGGCAGUAGAAUUAGGCCAGCGCUGAGAGUCUUUGAAAACUCCACUUUGAGAAGCUGUGUAGACAAUUCAUCAUGUUUAUUAUGUAUUUAUAUGGCGCAAAAUUGUCUGCCUGCAAAACAGCAUUCAUGGAUCUGCGAGGCCAAAUGGUGUAAAUACAUCCAUUUGUGAGAUCUCCU